UAGCUAAUUAUUGUAAUCGUCUUAAUAAUUUAGAAGGUAGUCGUUAGACGCAGAUGAAAUACUUUAUUUAUUAAUGAUAGUUACUAUGCUUAAUAAGCUAAUAUGACUACUGGGUAGUUUAACUGGGACGGUUUCCUCCAAUAAAGUAUCGGAGGACCUCAAAGGUAUGCUGAUGUUAGAUGGAAGCUAACAUGUCACGAGGACAUACAAAAGCCCAUAGGCAUAUGCAUGCUUAACUGU
rnacentral:rRNA from 1 species